CCUACGGGAGGCAGCAGUGGGGAAUAUUGGACAAUGGGGGCAACCCUGAUCCAGCCAUGCCGCGUGUGUGAAGAAGGCCCUCGGGUUGUAAAGCACUUUCAGUGAGGAAGAACGCCUGGUGGUUAAUACCCAUCAGGAAAGACAUCACUCACAGAAGAAGCACCGGCUAACUCCGUGCCAGAGCCGCGGUAAUACGGAGGGUGCGAGCGUUAAUCGGAAUUACUGGGCGUAAAGCGCGCGUAGGUGGCUUGAUAAGCCGGUUGUGAAAGCCCCGGGCUCAACCUGGGAACGGCAUCCGGAACUGUCAAGCUAGAGUGCAGGAGAGGAAGGUAGAAUUCCCGGUGUAGCGGUGAAAUGCGUAGAGAUCGGGAGGAAUACCAGUGGCGAAGGCGGCCUUCUGGACUGACACUGACACUGAGGUGCGAAAGCGUGGGUAGCAAACAGGAUUAGAUACCCUUGUAGUC
rnacentral:rRNA from 1 species